rnacentral:rRNA from 1 species
UACGUAGGGGGGCAAGCGUUGUCCGGAUUUAUUGGGCGUAAAGCGCGUGUAGGCGGCCAUGUAGGUCUGACGUGAAAUCCCUCGGCUUAACCGGGGAACUGCAUCUGAUACUGGAUGGCUUGAGUUCGGGAGAGGGAUGUGGAAUUCCAGGUGUAGCGGUGAAAUGCGUAGAUAUCUGGAGGAACACCGGUGGCGAAGGCGGCAUCCUGGACCGACACUGACGCUGAUGAGCGAAAGCCAGGGGAGCAAAACGGG